AUUGAACGCUGGCGGCAGGCCUAACACAUGCAAGUCGAGCGGUAGAGAGAAGCUUGCUUCUCUUGAGAGCGGCGGACGGGUGAGUAAUGCCUAGGAAUCUGCCUGGUAGUGGGGGAUAACGUUCGGAAACGGACGCUAAUACCGCAUACGUCCUACGGGAGAAAGCAGGGGACCUUCGGGCCUUGCGCUAUCAGAUGAGCCUAGGUCGGAUUAGCUGGUUGGUGAGGUAAUGGCUCACCAAGGCGACGAUCCGUAACUGGUCUGAGAGGAUGAUCAGUCACACUGGAACUGAGACACGGUCCAGACUCCUACGGGAGGCAGCAGUGGGGAAUAUUGGACAAUGGGCGAAAGCCUGAUCCAGCCAUGCCGCGUGUGUGAAGAAGGUCUUCGGAUUGUAAAGCACUUUAAGUUGGGAGGAAGGGCAGUAAAUUAAUACUUUGCUGUUUUGACGUUACCGACAGAAUAAGCACCGGCUAACUCUGUGCCAGCAGCCGCGGUAAUACAGAGGGUGCAAGCGUUAAUCGGAAUUACUGGGCGUAAAGCGCGCGUAGGUGGUUUGUUAAGUUGGAUGUGAAAUCCCCGGGCUCAACCUGGGAACUGCAUUCAAAACUGACUGACUAGAGUAUGGUAGAGGGUGGUGGAAUUUCCUGUGUAGCGGUGAAAUGCGUAGAUAUAGGAAGGAACACCAGUGGCGAAGGCGACCACCUGGACUAAUACUGACACUGAGGUGCGAAAGCGUGGGGAGCAAACAAGAUUAGAUACCCUGGUAGUCCACGCCGUAAACGAUGUCAACUAGCCGUUGGAAGCCUUGAGCUUUUAGUGGCGCAGCUAACGCAUUAAGUUGACCGCCUGGGGAGUACGGCCGCAAGGUUAAAACUCAAAUGAAUUGACGGGGGCCCGCACAAGCGGUGGAGCAUGUGGUUUAAUUCGAAGCAACGCGAAGAACCUUACCAGGCCUUGACAUCCAAUGAACUUUCUAGAGAUAGAUUGGUGCCUUCGGGAACAUUGAGACAGGUGCUGCAUGGCUGUCGUCAGCUCGUGUCGUGAGAUGUUGGGUUAAGUCCCGUAACGAGCGCAACCCUUGUCCUUAGUUACCAGCACGUCAUGGUGGGCACUCUAAGGAGACUGCCGGUGACAAACCGGAGGAAGGUGGGGAUGACGUCAAGUCAUCAUGGCCCUUACGGCCUGGGCUACACACGUGCUACAAUGGUCGGUACAGAGGGUUGCCAAGCCGCGAGGUGGAGCUAAUCCCACAAAACCGAUCGUAGUCCGGAUCGCAGUCUGCAACUCGACUGCGUGAAGUCGGAAUCGCUAGUAAUCGCGAAUCAGAAUGUCGCGGUGAAUACGUUCCCGGGCCU
rnacentral:rRNA from 1 species